rnacentral:rRNA from 1 species
AUUGAACGCUGGCGGCAUGCUUUACACAUGCAAGUCGAACGGCAGCGCGGGCUUCGGCCUGGCGGCGAGUGGCGAACGGGUGAGUAAUACAUCGGAACGUGCCCAGUAGUGGGGGAUAGCUCGGCGAAAGCCGGAUUAAUACCGCAUACGACCUGAGGGGGAAAGCGGGGGAUCUUCGGACCUCGCGCUAUUGGAGCGGCCGAUGGCAGAUUAGCUAGUUGGUGGGGUAAAGGCCUACCAAGGCGACGAUCUGUAGCUGGUCUGAGAGGACGACCAGCCACACUGGGACUGAGACACGGCCCAGACUCCUACGGGAGGCAGCAGUGGGGAAUUUUGGACAAAGGGCGAAAGCCUGAUCCAGCAAUGCCGCGUGUGUGAUGAAGGCCUUCGGGUUGUAAAGCACUUUUGGCGGGAACGAAAAGGACUGUGCCAAUACCACGGUUCGAUGACGGUACCCGCAGAAUAAGCACCGGCUAACUACGUG